UGGUUUGGGAGAAAGGGGCGUGGUUUGGAGUAGGUGUGGGGCUCGAGGUGGGUGUGGUUUAUGAAAGGGGGCGUGGUUUAUGAAGGGGCGUGGCUUGAGAAGGGGGCGGGGCUACUGCGCAGACAGACCCGGAGACUUUGGGGUCAUUUGGGGUUUAUUUGGGGUUUAUUUGGGAUUUUCGCAGUUUUUUUGGGGGGGGUAGGGGGGGGUUCAGGGGUCACGUGAUGGUUCGGGGUCACUGGGGUUCAAGGUCAUUUUGGGGUCAUUUGGGUUUUGGGGUCAUUUGUGUUUUGGGGCAAUUUGGGGUCACGUGAAGGUUUGGGGUCAUUUGGGGUCACGUGAAGGUUUGGGGUCAUUCGGGAUUUGGGCUCAUUUGGGCUCAUUCGGGGUCAUUUGGGUUUGGGGGUCGGAACGGGGUCGUUUGGGGUCAGUUGAGAUUUGGGGUCAUUACGGGCGAGGGGAUAAUUUGGGGUCAUUUGGGGUCACCUGAAGGUUUGGGGUCAUUUGGGGUCACGUGAAGGUUUGGGGUCAUUCUGGAUUUGGGGUCAUUUGGGGUCAGUUGGGAUUUGGGGUCAUUCGAGAUCUGGGGUCAUUUGGGAUCAUUUGGGGGCAAUUUGGGCCCUUUUGGGGUUUGGGUUUUUGGGGCCAUUUGGGCCUUUUUGGGUUUUUUGAGGCCCUUUUGAGGUUUGGUUCUUUUGGGGGUAAUUUGGGCCCUUUUUGGGUUUUUUGGGCCCUUUUGGGGUUUGGGGCCAUUUGGGCCUUUUUGGGUUUUUUGGGGCCCUUUUGGGGUUUGGGUUUUUGGGGUAAUUUGGGCCCUUUUUGGGUUUUUUGGGCCCUUUUGGGGUUUGGGGUUUUGGGGCCAUUUGGGCCUUUUUAG
rnacentral:lncRNA from 1 species